rnacentral:rRNA from 1 species
AUUGAACGCUGGCGGCAGGCCUAACACAUGCAAGUCGAGCGGAUGAAGGGAGCUUGCUCCUGGAUUCAGCGGCGGACGGGUGAGUAAUGCCUAGGAAUCUGCCUGGUAGUGGGGGAUAACGUCCGGAAACGGGCGCUAAUACCGCAUACGUCCUGAGGGAGAAAGUGGGGGAUCUUCGGACCUCACGCUAUCAGAUGGGCCUAGGUCGGAUUAGCUAGUUGGUGGGGUAAAGGCCUACCAAGGCGACGAUCCGUAACUGGUCUGAGAGGAUGAUCAGUCACACUGGAACUGGGACACGGUCCAGACUCCUACGGGAGGCAGCAGUGGGGAAUAUUGGACAAUGGGCGAAAGCCUGAUCCAGCCAUGCCGCGUGUGUGAAGAAGGUCUUCGGAUUGUAAAGCACUUUAAGUUGGGAGGAAGGGCAGUAAGUUAAUACCUUGCUGUUUUGACGUUACCAACAGAAUAAGCACCGGCUAACUUCGUG